GGAAUAUUGCACAAUGGGGGAAACCCUGAUGCAGCGACGCCGCGUGAAGGAAGAAGUAUUUCGGUAUGUAAACUUCUAUCAGCAGGGAAGAAAAUGACGGUACCUGAGUAAGAAGCCCCGGCUAACUACGAGCCAGCAGCCGCGGUAAUACGUAGGGGGCAAGCGUUAUCCGGAUUUACUGGGUGUAAAGGGAGCGUAGACGGUAAUGUAAGUCUGAUGUGAAAGCCCGGGGCUCAACCCCGGGACUGCUCUGGAAACUAUUUGACUGGAGUGCAGGAGAGGUAAGCGGAAUUCCUAGUGUAGCGGUGAAAUGCGUAGAUAUUAGGAGGAACACCAGUGGCGAAGGCGGCUUACUGGACUGUAACUGACGUUGAGGCUCGAAAGCGUGGGGAGCAAACA
rnacentral:rRNA from 1 species